rnacentral:rRNA from 1 species
AAUUUUGGACAAUUGGGGCAACCCUGAUCCAGCCAUCCCGCGUGUGCGAUGAAGGCCUUCGGGUUGUCCAGCACUUUUGUCAGGGAAGAAAAGGCUCUGGUGAAUACCCGGAGCUGCUGACGGUACCUGCAGAAUAAGCACCGGCUAACUACGUGCCAGCAGCCGCGGUAAUACGUAGGGUGCAAGCGUUAAUCGGAAUUACUGGGCGUAAAGCGUGCGCAGGCGGUUUGGCAAGAAGGAUGUGAAAUCCCGGGGCUUAACCUCGGAACUGCAUUCUUAACUGCCAGGCUAGAGUAUGUCAGAGGGGGGUAGAAUUCCACGUGUAGCAGUGAAAUGCGUAGAGAUGUGGAGGAAUACCGAUGGCGAAGGCAGCCCCCUGGGGUAAUACUGACGCUCAUGCACGAAAGCGUGGGGAGCAAACG